AAGAAAUAUCAUGAUUAUUGUUACAGUGGAAGGAAGGAUACCGAAUACUGGAGGAGAGUUGGUCCUGUAAUCUGUGUCGUCUGCUGCACGCAAAAGAUUCUGGAAUUUUAAGAUUCCGGGGAGGCGGGGGAAUACGUGGGACUUCAAAACUAGAUAGGUGCACAAGGUGGCCUAGUUUAGAGUUUUCCGUUCAUCAGUAAAACAGGAGAACAGAAGAACGGAAGAACAGAAGAACAGGAGAACAGGAGAACAGAAGAACAGGAGGAAAUCUGAUUUUUAAAUACAUUUUUUCACGCCGUUAGGGAUUUGAAAUACACUCGUAUAAAAAUAAGGAAGAGCUUAAAGUUAACAAAUCCCUAACAGCUGGAAAACAAGCUUGGACAAUGGACAUUCCUAAUUUUCAAUCUAACAAAUCAACUCGUUAAUUGACAAUCCAAAAAAGACAAAACAAGAAGAUUUUUUCAUUUUAUUCAAAACAAUUUUACUAAAUCUCUCUUUUAUUUAAAAAUUAUUAUUAACUAGGGAAUGCUUAAAUUUACUGACAUUAAAAGUUUACUUUUAUAUAAUACUUUUCUAGUUCUUGGGUUUUCCAAAUGUGAUUGAGAAAUAUUUGGGGAG